rnacentral:rRNA from 1 species
GACGAACGCUGGCGGCGUGCUUAACACAUGCAAGUCGAACGGUAAGGCUUUGCUUUUGUGGGGUGCUCGAGUGGCGAACGGGUGAGUAACAAGUGAGUAACCUGCCCUUGAUUUUGGGAUUACUUCAGGAAACUGGGGCUAAUACCGGAUAGGUGCUCCUGUUGCAUGGUGGGGGCUGGCAAGUUUCGGCGGUAGGGGUUGGACUCGCGGCUUAUCAGCUUGUUGGUGGGGGAGUGGCUUACCAAGGCUUUGACGGGUAGCCGGACUGAGAGUGUGACCGGCCACAGUGGGACUGAGAUACAGCCCAGACUCCGACGGGAAGCAGCGGUAGCAGAUAUUGAACAAUGAGCGGAAGCCUGAUGCAGCAGCGCCGCGUGCGGGAGAACGGCCUUCGGGUUGUGAAGCGCUUUCGCCUGGGACGAAGCGUGAGUGACGGUAAUAUAUAAAGAAGCACCGGCUAACUACGUG